UACGGAGGGUGCGAGCGUUGUCCGGAAUCAUUGGGCGUAAAGGGCGCGUAGGUGGCCCGGUCAGUCCGUGGUGAAAGCGCGGGGCUCAACCCCGCGUCGGCCAUGGAUACUGCUGGGCUUGAGCACUGUAGAGGCAGGCGGAAUUCCGGGUGUAGCGGUGGAAUGCGUAGAGAUCCGGAAGAACACCGGUGGCGAAGGCGGCCUGCUGGGCAGUGGCUGGACACUGAGGCGCGACAGCGUGGGGAGCAAACAGGG
rnacentral:rRNA from 1 species